GUAAGACCACCUCCAUCGGGGGAUCCUUAAGGAGAGUUUCAACCAAAAGUAGAAAAAAAAUAAAUGAAAAAGGCAAAAAAAAGAAAGGACCGCGUCUUAAACUGGGCUUUUUAGGAUCGGUAAGGAACCCUUACGUGGCAAAAUCCUAUUCGACCAACCCUUAAUUGCUUUUCCUUCUUUGCCGCCGGCGAAAACCAUCGACGAUGAACGCUUAAUGGAGAUGUCCAUGAAGUUGAGCGAGGAUUUCACCAAGAAGCUGGGAUUUUCAGAAGAGGGUGAAGAAAUUCGAAAACUCGAGAGAUCUUGGAGUAAACUCGAAGAUUCCAUAGGAAGAGGAAGCAGGAGAGGAAGAAGAGUUCUCGUUUGCUUGUGUAAACGCAGAAGGAUCUCCUUUUCGAUCAAAACGACGGCGUUUCAGAGACGGACGACGAGGAGAUUAACCGGCCGCGUCUUAGAAAAGUGUUCGUGGAAUCUCACAUUCCAACUGAAAAGUCUCCUGAUGAUAUCCGUAUCUCGAAAGGGAAUAACGAUGAUCUUGUUGAGGUAUCUGGUGAAGUCAGCAGUGUGAGAGAUCUCUCAUUCAGGUUGUUCUAAGACUUAGAGAGGAUGUUUUAGGAGAUAGAGGCAGUGUCUCUGCUAGGAAUCCUCCUCCUGCAAGAUCUGAUCAUGCCGGUUUCACACUUCCUCCUUUUGUAUCUUCUGUUCCAGAAUAUGCUUUUGUAGAUUUUGAUCAGAGGCGAGAGACAGGGGAAAGCAGCUUGGGAAUGGUUUCUUCAGACAGAUUUUAUGGUUAUGAAAGUAUUUUCUCGGCAAGAGAUCAUGGUUUGGUAUCAGUCGGGUCCAUACUCAUAUGGAGGGUAAGUUUUGCAAACUACAACAAAGAACUUGGCUUCUUCUUUAUCACUUUGUUUCAAAUGGUUUAAAACUUUUUUUUCUCGUGUAUUAGUUUUUGUUUGUCUUCUCAAAUACUUGUAAAAUCUAAAACACUUUCAUUUUACCAAUUGGUUUAAUUUCUUUAAAAAAAAAUAAAUUAAGAACCUCAUAGAGGUUCUCCCAUUGGACCUUCUCAAAACUAAUUACAAUAUCAAGGGUUCUAAACUAUUUAAAGUACACAACUAAUAAAUAAAAUAAUUUUAAGAACCCAUUAAAGACUCUAACCAAUGGAGGUGCUCUAAGAAUACAAAUGGUCCCUUCUCAUUUUGUCAAAGAAUAAAAUACAUCUUAUACCACACUUCUGUGUACUAGAAUUCCAAGCACCAUCCACAUUUUCAUUAAGCAAUGCUAAUAAUAUGGUUAUAUAGCUAAAUCUUAUUUUAAUUAGCUCUUGUGACACGUGACAAUGACAACCCAUUAAAUCCAAAUUGGUAGAUAUGUUGGUAGCUAAGUUCAUUAAUUUCGAUGUAGUUUGCAUGUAUCAAGUAAUUAAUAAUAUGUAUUUAUCCGUUAAAUUUAAUUUGAUUUGUUAUUUAUCUCGAUUCGAUCCAAAAAAUUUAGAUAUGUAUAAACUUUUGAAGCAAAAGAGAUAAUAAAAAUUAAUAACUCUUAAAAACGAAACAAAUCACAAAUAUUAAAAUUUUGGAAAGCGAAUGUCCGCUCCGACAAUAUAUAAAUACAUAUAUAUCUUGAAUUAUAUUUAGAGUUUUAAAUGUAUAUAUUUAUAUAAUUAUUAUUAAUUUGACAAAUUUAUAUUCACAUUAUUAUUUAUAUUAAAGUAUUACAUAAAAAAGAGAGAACAAAUAUGACAAUUUUAACUUUUCUCUUAAGUUUUAUCUUAUUAUAAUUGUUAACAAAUUUAAAUUUUUAAAAAUAUGUAGUUUUACUUCUUCUUUUAAUUUUUAUUUUAUAUGUUAUGCAAACGAAUAUUUUAUAAAACAACUUUAUAUCAAAAUUUUAAAAUUAUUUGUAUUAAUCAAAACGAUUGAGAUAUCCGUAAGUAUAUAUCCGUAAAUAGCUAUUUAUUUUUUGGAUAUCCAAUUUAUUAAAUAUCCAUGUUUUUCCAAAACAAAACAAAUAAAAAAUUAAAUAUUUCUGACAUAGGAAACAAAUCCAAAUACAUCUAAAAAAUCUGGAUAUCUGAUUCGUGCACGUCCCUGACUACAUCUUUUCAUUUAUACGGAAUAUAUAUGUUCGAUAAAAAGAUCCUUCAUUUCUACGCCGAUUAAAUUAAUCAAUGGACCGCUGACUAUAUUUAUUCGGAUGGAAUACAACAUGGUUGAAUUAAGACGAAGAAAGAGAUAUUAAAACGGCUAGUCAUAUUGUUUAUCAAAGACUCUCCUUUAUCAGAAUUUCUUUUUCUCAAAGAAAUAUAUUAAAUAAACAAUGCAUUAUUACGCUAGAACCUGUCUCCCACCAAUUGGUAUUUCGACAGGAUGUUUAGCACCUUGGAUUUUAUGGCAGCUUUGGAUUUCCAGGAACAUCCUCUGCUUUGAAAACAGAGAAAUCUCUGCAAUAGAUACAGGUACCAGAGCCAUUGGGGCCGCUAAGGAAUGGGAAGCAUGCCAAAGGAAAACAAAAGCUCUGCCCAAAUUCUCAAAACCAAGUCCAAAACUACCCAUGAAUUGUGCAAUUAUCCGAUCUGAUGCAGCCUGGAAAGAAGACAUGAAGACAGCUGGACUCGGCUGGACUAUUUCUUAUCUCAACAGGACUAUCUCUUCCUCUGCAACGGAGUCUUCCGUCAGAUCCCCUCUCUCUGCAGAAGGUUUAGCGCUCCGUGAGGCUAUCCUCCAAUGCAAGAGAAUGGAGAUUUCUAACAUUUGCUGUGAAUCGGAUUCACUUCAACUGGUCCAAGCGGUGAACUCUGUUUCACCAAUUUCAGAGCUUUAUAGCAUUGUGGCUGACAUCCACUCUUGUUUAGCUUCCUUUGAUUUUAUUUUCUUCCGAUGGAUUCCUCCUUUGCGAAAUGUCGCUGCUGAUAACCUUGCAAAAUCAGCCUUGUCUGAUGCAGUUGUAGUUAUGGCACUCACCUAAUCUGGUUGGCCUAUUUAAUAUAAGUAUGUGUUUCAAAAAAAAAAAAAAAAACAAUGCAUUAUUAGUUUAA